rnacentral:lncRNA from 1 species
GUGCGCCAGCGGCGCGGGCCUGACUGGGGCGGGCAAAACAGUGGCACCGUUUUCGGGCUGCUUGGGGAUCUUGAGCAUGGCCAUGAGGUCGGGGGCGGAUGCCGCGUGCACCGGAGGCACUUCCGCGCGGACCGGCGGUGACUGCCCGAGCAUCUGCAUGAUGGCGUCACCCGCAUCCUUUGGCGGGCUCGAAGACAGCGGCGCCGGCGCCGCGCCACCCAUGAAGGUGGGCACCGGGAGAGCGUUCGGCGCGGGUGAGUUGCCAAAGGCUGGGCCGGCCCACCUGUUAGGCACGUCCUUCUCCCCGGGCUUGGCGUUGCCGCUGGCGGGUCUCGCCUUCUUGUCAGCCUUGGGCUGGCCGUUGGCGAGGGGCACCGGGAGUUGCUGCCCCCUCUGGAGCACCGCCUUGGGCGCGGGCACCUUCUUCUGCGCCUGCGC